CACAGAACUCACCAUCAGAACCAUGGACAUGUUGAGAAUGAUGAGUCUUGGGUUCCUCUGACUGAGAAGGUUUAUUCAAGUUUGCAUGAAAGUACAAGAAAAUUCAGAUUCAGAGUGCCAUACCCCAUCUUUG